rnacentral:snRNA from 1 species
AGCUUUGUGCAGUGGCAGUAUUGUAGCCAAUGAGGUUUAUCUGAGAUGUGAUUAUUGCUAACUGAAACAGAUUCAUAGUGCACAGAGAGUGGGAUUUGUAGUUAGCUACAUCUAGAUUUUGAAAUCCCCACCCCACUAUUUACCAGUUGGA